UCGGCAAUAGCAAAGAAGAGCCAAGUAAAUUGAAGUUACGGUUUUCGCUGACCAAAUAUUCACUGUGUGUGUUAUGUUGUGGGGCAAACGUAGUUGAAGCUGAAGCCAGUCAGCUAAUUGCUCUUACUCUUGGCACUACAACUUGGUCUCGCAGUUCUUGCCGCCGUGCUGUACGUAACCAUAUUCUCCUCAACACUCAGCUGCAUCUCCGACGUGGUCUUCAUCUGCUUUCAAUGCACGGGGAACCAGAACUGCUUCAAGGUUUUCUUACUCUGGAAUGCCAUCGACAUCUUAAUCACCUUUGUGUGCGACAUCGCGCUGUAUUACAUGGUGCAGUCCGUGACCAACGAGGUGAGCUUGGCGUGG
rnacentral:lncRNA from 1 species